rnacentral:rRNA from 1 species
CCCUUAGAGUUUGAUCCUGGCUCAGAAUCAACGCUGGCGGCGUGCCUAACACAUGCAAGUCGAACGCGAAAGGGGCUUCGGCCCUGAGUAGAGUGGCAAACGGGUGAGUAACACGUGGGUGACCUGCCUCAGAGUGGGGGAUAACGUUCCGAAAGGAGCGCUAAUACCGCAUGACAUCCUGCGCUUGGAAGCGCGGUGAUUAAAGCCGGGGAUCGCAAGACCUGGCGCUUGGAGAGGGGCCCGCGGCCGAUUAGCUAGUUGGUGGGGUAAUGGCUCACCAAGGCAACGAUCGGUAUCCGGCCUGAGAGGGCGGACGGACACACUGGGACUGAGACACGGCCCAGACUCCUACGGGAGGCAGCAGUGGGGAAUUGUUCGCAAUGGGCGCAAGCCUGACGACGCAACGCCGCGUGGAGGAUGAAGAUCUUCGGGUCGUAAACUCCUUUCGAUCGGGAAGAACGGCUUCCGGGUGAAUAACCCGGAAGAGUGACGGUACCGAGAGAAGAAGCCCCGGCUAACUCCGUGCCAGCAGCCGCGGUAAUACGGGGGGGGCAAGCGUUGUUCGGAAUUACUGGGCGUAAAGGGCUCGUAGGCGGCCAACUAAGUCGGAUGUGAAAUCCCCAGGCUUAACCUGGGAACUGCAUCCGAUACUGGAUGGCUUGAAUUCGGGAGAGGGAUGCAGAAUUCCAGGUGUAGCGGUGAAAUGCGUAGAUAUCUGGAGGAAUACGGGUGGC